rnacentral:rRNA from 1 species
GUGUCAGCAGCCGCGGUAAUACGAAGGGGGCUAGCGUUGUUCGGAAUUACUGGGCGUAAAGCGCACGUAGGCGGGUAUUUAAGUCAGGGGUGAAAUCCCAGAGCUCAACUCUGGAACUGCCUUUGAUACUGGGUACCUAGAGUAUGGAAGAGGUAAGUGGAAUUCCGAGUGUAGAGGUGAAAUUCGUAGAUAUUCGGAGGAACACCAGUGGCGAAGGCGGCUUACUGGUCCAUUACUGACGCUGAGGUGCGAAAGCGUGGGGAGCAAACAGGAUUAGAAACCCCUGUAGUCC